GCCCCAGUAACGGCGAGUGAAGCGGCAACAGCUCAAAUUUGAAAUCUGGCUCUCGGGCCCGAGUUGUAAUUUGUAGAGGAUGCUUUUGGUGAGGUGCCUUCCGAGUUCCCUGGAACGGGACGCCAUAGAGGGUGAGAGCCCCGUCUGGUUGGACGCCGAACCUCUGUAAAGCUCCUUCGACGAGUCGAGUAGUUUGGGAAUGCUGCUCUAAAUGGGAGGUAUAUGUCUUCUAAAGCUAAAUACCGGCCAGAGACCGAUAGCGCACAAGUAGAGUGAUCGAAAGAUGAAAAGAACUUUGAAAAGAGAGUUAAACAGUACGUGAAAUUGUUGAAAGGGAAGCGCUUGUGACCAGACUUGGGCUUGGUUGAUCAUCCGGGGUUCUCCCCGGUGCACUCUUCCGGCUCAGGCCAGCAUCAGUUCGCCCUGGGGGAUAAAGGCAUCGGGAACGUGGCUCUCUCCGGGGAGUGUUAUAGCCCGUUGCGUAAUACCCUGUGGCGGACUGAGGUUCGCGCAUUCGCAAGGAUGCUGGCGUAAUGGUCAUCAG
rnacentral:rRNA from 1 species